rnacentral:rRNA from 1 species
GAUGAACGCUGGCGGCGUGCCUAAUACAUGCAAGUCGAGCGAAUGGAUUGAGAGCUUGCUCUUAUGAAGUUAGCGGCGGACGGGUGAGUAACACGUGGGUAACCUGCCCAUAAGACUGGGAUAACUCCGGGAAACCGGGGCUAAUACCGGAUAACAUUUUGAACCGCAUGGUUCGAAAUUGAAAGGCGGCUUCGGCUGUCACUUAUGGAUGGACCCGCGUCGCAUUAGCUAGUUGGCGAGGUAACGGCUCACCAAGGCAACGAUGCGUAGCCUACCUGAGAUGGUGGUCGGCCACACUGGGACGGAGACACGGCCCAGACUCCUACGGGCGGAAGCAGUAGGGAAUCUUCCGCAAUGGACGAAAGUCUGACGGAGCAACGCCGCGUGAGUGAUGAAGGCUUUCGGGUCGUAAAACUCUGUUGUUAGGGAAGAACAAGUGCUAGUUGAAUAAGCUGGCACCUUGACGGUACCUAACCAGAAAGCCACGGCUAACUACGUGCCAGCCGCCGCGGUAA